rnacentral:lncRNA from 1 species
UUGCCGGCGUCCUCCCGGUAGAUGCCCAGGUCCACGUCGUAGUCCCAGGGGAUGAUGUCCCGCAGGCGCACGGCGCCCAGCAGCGAGCCCCCCUCCAACCAGUACCGCACGCCGGCGGCCUCCAGCGCCCCGGCCACGUGCCGGGCGGUCUCGCGCAGCGCCCGCAGGCAGCACGGCGGGGUCCAGCGCCCCGCCAGGAGGUACUGGGGCGUGCGGGCGUGCACGGUGCCGAAGCAGCGCGCCGUCUCCUUGCCGCAGCCGUACCAGCGCUCCCGCCCGUCCGCCAGCACCUCCCGCUUGAUGCCCAGCUCGCGCAGCAGCCGCCGCCGCCGGGCCCCCGCCAAGCUCUCGGCUUUCCACCGGUUGUGGGGGUUAGCCGGGGGGGCCGGGGCGGCGGGGAAAGCUUCGGGGAGCACCCGCACCCCCCAGCCCCGCAGCGCCGCCUGCACGAAGAGGGCGGUGGGCAGCGGGCGAGCCAGCGGGAAGGAGAGGUUGAAGAGGUCGCGGGUGCGCAGCAGCAGCACGGCUGCCCCUUCCACGGCCCCGCAGGCCGCCCCCCCGGCCCCCCCGGGGCCGUAGCGCGCCGUCCACUCGCGCAGCUCCACGCGCAAGCCCAGGCACCGCAGCGGCUCCGUCCCCACGGGCGCCGCCACCACCCGGGCGUCCCCCCCGGCCUCCAGCGCCGCCCGCAUGCGGUCCAGCAGCCCCGGUCGGGCUCGGGCGCCGUCGGGGACCAGCGCCACGUGGCGGGUGCGGACGUGGAGCUCGGGGCGCGAGUCCCGGGGGGGGCGGUCGGGAGCGGGGCGCAGGAGCAGCACCCGCGCCCCGGGGGGCAGCGGGACGGGCGGGUAGGGGGCCGCCUCGGCCGCCACCAGCACGGGCAGCGGGAGGGCGGCGAAGGAGCGCGCGGUGCCGGCCACGUCGUUCUCGAAGUCCUCGAACUCCCGCAGCAGCACGGUGACGCCGGGGAGCUCGCGGGGGGGGCGGCAGCGCGCUGCCGGAGGCCCCCCCCCCGGCCGCAGCCAGGCGCAGUAGAGGAGGAGGAGGUUGAGGCCGAUGGCCCCCGCCAGGGCCGCCUGGCACGGCGUCAGGCGCAUGGCGGUGACGGGCUUGGGGUCGU